UGGGGUUGUAACUCAGUGGUAGAGUGCUUGCCUAGCAUGUGUAAGGCACUGAGUUCGAUUCUCAGCACCACAA
rnacentral:tRNA from 1 species